rnacentral:lncRNA from 1 species
GUAAUAAUUUGGGUUUUCAUAGAUGACAAUCACCAUUUGAUGUUUUUAGAUGAACCAAGAUCAUGAAUUUGUAUCAAAGUGGAAUUUAGACAUCCCAACUAAGUUGGUUCUUCUAAAAACCACAAAUCAUUUACAAGCAUACUCAAAAAUCACUUAUAAGCACACUCAUGAAUAAAUAGAGGGGGUGUUGUAUUGUACCCAACGCAAUGAAAAUAAAAA